rnacentral:rRNA from 1 species
UAGGGAAUCUUCCACAAUGGGCGCAAGCCUGAUGGAGCAACGCCGCGUGAGUGAAGACGGCCUUCGGGUUGUAAAGCUCUGUCGGUCGGGACGAGGGCGGCGCGGGGACGCGCCGCGGGACGGUACCGACCCAUCGAGCCCCUGCUAACUACGUGCCAGCAGCCGCGGUAAGACGUAGGGGGCAAGCGUUGUCCGGAAUUACUGGGCGUAAAGGGCGUGUAGGCGGCGCGGUACGUAGCGGUUUUAAGCCUCCGGCUCACCCGGAGGAGGGCGGCUAAACGGCCGGGCUAGAGGGCAGGAGAGGUGCGCGGAAUUCCUGGUGGACCGGUGAAAUGCGUAGAGAUCAGGAAGAACACCGGUGGCGAAGGCGGCGCACUGGCCUGGCCCUGACGCUGAGGCGCGACAGCGUGGGGAGCAAACGGG